rnacentral:tRNA from 1 species
UGGAUAGUUCAGCUGGUAGAGCACGAGACUCUUAAUCUCAGGAUUGUGGGUUUGAGCCCCGGUUUGGACAG